UGGGGAAUCUUGCACAAUGGGGGCAACCCUGAUCCAGCGACGCCGCGUGGGUGACGAAGGCCUUCGGGUUGUAAAGCCCUUUCGCCGGGGACGAUGAUGACGGUACCCGGUAAAGAAGCACCGGCUAACUCCGUGCCAGCAGCCGCGGUAAGACGGAGGGUGCUAGCGUUGUUCGGAAUCACUGGGCGUAAAGGGCGCGUAGGCGGCCCUUGUCGUCGGCUCGUGAAAGCCCGGGGCUCAACCCCGGUACGGCGGCCGAUACGCAGGGGCAGGAGGCCGGAAGAGGAGGGUGGAAUACCCAGUGUAGAGGUGAAAUUCGUAGAUAUUGGGUGGAACACAGGUGGCGAAAGCGGCUCUCUGGUCCGGACCUGACGCUGAGGCGCGAAAGCGUGGGGAGCAAACAGGAUUAGAUGCCCCCGUAGUCC
rnacentral:rRNA from 1 species